rnacentral:rRNA from 1 species
AUUGAACGCUGGCGGCAUGCUUUACACAUGCAAGUCGAACGGCAACACACUGCGAGCUUCUGCCUAGUGGCGACCGGUCGCGUAAGGCUUCGGAAUGCACCGUAUCCUGGUGUUUCAUUUCGCGUAAGAUAAGCACAUUCACGAUACGACCUAUGACUGCCACCGGGUGAACGCAAGGCCUCUUGCGCCCUUGGCCGAUGAUGUCGGAUUAGGUAGGUGGUGGGGUAAAGGCUCAUCAAGGCCACGAUCGGUAGCUGGCCUGAGAGGACGAGCAGCCACACUGGGACUGAGACACGGCCCAGACUCCUACGGGAGGCAGCAGUGGGGAAUGUUGGACAAUGGGCGCAAGCCUGAUCCAGCAAUGCCGCGUGCGGGAAGAAGGCCUUCGGGUUGUAAAGUGCUUUUGUUGGGAACGAAACGCCUCUGGUUAAUACCCGGCGCUAAUGACGGUACCGAAAGAAUAAGCACCGGCUAACUACGUG